UUAAGCCAUGCAAGUGUUAGUUCAGGUAACGAAACUGCGAAUAGCUCAUUAAUUUGCUCAGAAUCUAUUUGGCGGCGACCAACAGGUCUUAAAUUGGAUAGCAGCAGCAACUCUGGUGCUAAUACAUGCGAUUGUUUCUCCAGAUGUGAAUUAUGGAGGAAAAGUUGACCUCAUCAGAGGCACGCCAUUCGACUGAGUGACCUAUCAGCUUGUACUUAGGGUCUUUACCUAGGUAGGCUAUCACGGGUAACGGGCGGUUACCGUCGGACUGCCGGAGAAGGCGCCUGAGAGAUAGCGACUAUAUCCACGGGUAGCAGCAGGCGCGAAACUUUCCCACUCGAGACUUUCGGAGGAGGUAAUGACCAGUUCCAUUGGUGCCUUUUGGUACUGUGGAUAGGGGUACGGUUUUCCACCGUACCGAAACCUAGCAGAGGGCCAGUCUGGUGCCAGCAGCUGCGGUAAUUCCAGCUCUGCGAGUUUGCUCCCAUAUUGUUGCAGUUAAAACGCCCGUAGUCUGAAUUGGCCAGCAAUGGUCGUACGUAUUUUUACGUUCACUGUGAACAAAUCAGGACGCUUAGAGUAUGGCCACAUGAAUGACUCAGCGCAGUAUGAAGUCUUUGUUUUCUUCCGAAAACAAGCUCAAUGAGAGCCAUCGGGGGUAGAUCUAUCUCAUGACGAGUGGUGGAAUACUUUGACUCAUGAGAGAGAAGCUGAGGCGAAGGCGUCUACCUAGAGGGUUUCUGUCGAUCAAGGGCGAGAGUAGGAGUAUCCAACAGGAUUAGAGACCCUGGUAGUUCCUACCUUAAACGAUGCCGACAGGAGUUUGUCAUUUGUUAAUGGCAGAAUCUUUGGAGAAAUCAUAGUUCUUGGGCUCUGGGGGAACUACGACCGCAAGGCUGAAACUUGAAGGAAUUGACGGAAGGGCACACCAGGGGUGGAGCCUGUGGCUUAAUUUGAAUCAACA
rnacentral:ncRNA from 2 species